GCCACACUGCCCAGUCAGAUUGAUAACUCUUUAUGACAUUCAUACAAAGAGGAGGCCCAGGAUCUUACUUGUUUCCCUAGGCUACAAUACAAGAGACACUAUCUCCCUAUUGGCUGAUUCCAGGUACGGGAAUCAUCAUAGCACCUAUGAGUUGGGCCAGGAUAUUUGUCACAAUCCCAACUAUAAGUAGAAAAUGAGCAGAAGAGUCACAUCACCUGGGUGCUGUAUGAGGAAUGUCACAUUUCCAGGAAGCAGGGCACAGGCAGAAGGGUCACAUAACCUGGUGGCCGAGCCCAGUGAUAUUUUACAAUGCUCCCUGUGGGAAAAGACCUGCCAGAAAAGACACAUCACCUGGUUACUGGGCCCAGCGAUAUGUCACAAUCUUCUCUAUGUGCAGGAUGCAGGCAGAAAAAGAGUCACAUCACUUUGGUGAUAGAUGCAGACAUAUGUCACAAGGCCGCCUAUGGGCAGGGCUUAUUAAGUAGCCUCUGAUCCAGUCCUGUAGGUGUUCGGUCCAGCUACAUGUCACAAUACCAAAAAUAUGCAUGGCUCAGCAAAAGAAAAGAUUUACAUCACCUAAGUGCUGGAUCCAGUGAUAUGUCACAAUCCUCUUCUUUGGCAUGGCCGAGGAAGAAGUAGAGAGUCACAUCACCUGUGUGCUGGGUCCAGUGAUGAGUCACUUUCCCUUGUGUGGGCAUGGCUUCAGCAGGAGACAAGAGUCACAUCACUAAGGUUCUGGUUCCA
rnacentral:lncRNA from 10 species